rnacentral:lncRNA from 1 species
UGUGUGCAUAUGGGCAUGUGUGCAUGUGUGCGUGUGCGUGGCCAGAGAUUGAGGUCAGGUGUCUGCCAGCCAAACUUUCCACCUGGUUUUUUUCAGGUGGGGGCUCAUACUGACUCUGAAAGUCAGAAAGUCAGCUAACCGGCUGGCCACUGCACUUCAGAGUGCUGCCUACCUUUGCUUGGAGAGCCCAUGUUGACAGUGCUUUUGCAGGAAUUCUGGGGAUCGAACUUAGAUCCUCUUGUCUAUUUUCCAGGGACUUUACCAACUGAGCCAUCUGCCAAGCCCCCUGAAAUUUUUUAAAAAUUAAAUCUCAGAGUGAAGAAGGGAUUUCUAAAUGUGAUAGAAAAACAUAAAAUUCAUAAAAUGAAAUAACAAUAAAUUCAAUGACAUAAAAUUAAUUAAAAAAUUUUUCAGUGUACAAUGUACCCUAAGCAAAGUAAAAAAGAAAAAAGAAAAGAGAAGGAAAGGAAAAGAGAAGGAAAGGAAAAGAGAGACACAGUGGCGAUGAUUUCACAGUAGUGUGAAUGAAAAAAAAUAUUUUUCUAAAGAUUUUCAAGUGGAUGAGUGGUUUGCAGGCAUGAGGAGAGAUUAUUAGACCUUCUGAAAUUGACUUACUGAAGUUUGUAAGCCACCAUGUGACCAUGUGGGCGCUGGGAGCUGGGAACCAGACCUGGUCCUCUGCAAGAGCAACAAAUGCUCUUAACUACGGAGCCAUCUCUCCAACCCCGACACUGUGAAUAUAUUAAAUGCCACUCAACUGGACUCUUAAAACAUUUUUAAGUGAUAAAAUUUGUGUUAUGUGUAUUUAGUCACACACUGAAACUCAAAAAAAAAAGAAAGAAAGAAAGG